GCGAAAGUGGCGGAAUUGGUAGACGCACCAGAUUUAGGUUCUGGCGCCGCAAGGCGUGGGGGUUCGAGUCCCUCCUUUCGCACCA
rnacentral:tRNA from 3 species